rnacentral:rRNA from 1 species
GAACGCUGGCGGCGUGCCUAAUACAUGCAAGUCGAACGCUCUUUUCUUAUCGAACUUCGGUUCACCGAGAAAAGGGAGUGGCGAACGGGUGAGUAACACGUGGGUAACCUACCCAUCAGCGGGGGAUAACACUUGGAAACAGGUGCUAAUACCGCAUAAUUCUUUUCUUCGCCUGAAGGGAAGAUGAAAGACGCUUUUGCGUCACUGAUGGAUGGACCCGCGUCUGAUUAGCUAGUUGGUGGGGUAGAAGCCUACCAAGGCGACGAUCAGUAGCCGGCCUGAGAGGGUGGACGGCCACACUGGAACUGAGACACGGUCCAGACUCCUACGGGAGCAGCAGU